GUGCCAGCCGCCGCGGUAAUACGGAGGAUGCGAGCGUUAUCCGGAUUUAUUGGGUUUAAAGGGUGCGUAGGCGGAUUAAUAAGUCAGUGGUGAAAACCUUCAGCUUAACUGGAGAACUGCCAUUGAUACUGUUAGUCUUGAGUACGGUCAAGGUAGGCGGAAUGUGUAAUGUAGCGGUGAAAUGCUUAGAUAUUACACAGAACACCGAUUGCGAAGGCAGCUUACUGGGCCAUUACUGACGCUGAUGCACGAAAGCGUGGGGAGCGAACAGGAUUAGAUACCCUCGUAGUCC
rnacentral:rRNA from 1 species